AUAUUAAGUUGUACUGUGAUAACUAAGUAUAUCACAGUUAUUACACUUUAUGUUUAAAUCAUUGUGCCGUCUUUGUAAAUAUUGUUUAUAGAUAUAAUGAUCGGAUUUUGUAUAAUAUAUAGAAAAAAAAGUUGAAUAAAAGAACACGCAGCAGUGUUAGUUUUAUUUUAAGCUCCCAAGGGUAAAUAAUAUCGACCAUCCGAAAUAAAUAUAUCAUUCAAGUUACGAUGUAACGGAGGCAGUAAACACUUUUCAGCUGGUAGUGUCUAAUUGGCCAGCAUCAAAUUUACAAAUAAGAGGCAGUUUACGGAUUGAAGAGGAUAUUUGAAGUUUAAAAUAAUAAUAAUUGCUAGAAUUGAAGUUUCAGCGGCUAGAAUUGAGUUUCACUUAUUUAAAGAAGAUCAGUUGUAUAGCCUUGAUCUUGACAGUAUGAUGUAAUGACUUGCAGGUGUGUGGUUAAAGACUUUUGUGUGAGUUUUUGAAAGUUGGAUAGGCGACUCUAGGCCGAGAAGCUCCGAAAUCUGUUUACUGCCUCCUAAAGAGCAAAUCUUGAAAAUUUUGAAGUUUGUAUCAACUGACUGAAGGAUCAGUGUUAAAGGAUAACACUACAAUGAAAACAGCUGUGAAUUGUUUCUUUUGAAAAUGACUGCUUGAUGAUAAAGUUUCAAACAACUAUGAAACUAAUUCUUCAAAGAAUGAAUGAUCAUCAUCAUCCUUAUAUUGGAAUAAAAGGAAGGAAGUGACAGCUACAGUCACGGUAAAAGUAAAUGCAGUCAGAAGACCCCACCUGAAGAGCCAGCCUUCUCAAGAUUUUGUAUCAAAUAAAAAUAACAAGGACUGCUAAAAAGACUUUUUAUAACUUGCAAAUGUGCAGUCUGUGACAUAACUGUCUGAUCCAGGUAGUUUAGUGUUGACAAGAUGACAUUUCAUCUCUAUAGUAGAGGACACAAGUUUGAAAUGCAGUAUGUCAUUGUGAAGGCAAAAUAUUUAUGAAAAUAGUGUGUGUGUUUUCCAAAUAGAGAGGCUGAAAGUGGGGAAUCAUCAAUUAGUGUUUUGGGAAUAAGUUGUGGACAUCUGAAUAGUAAAGAUCUGUACCUUUUUUGGAUUGCCAGAGACCAAAAUAAUGAUUGGUGCCUUUGACAUAAAUAAAAGAUCUCACACUGGACAAUCUUAAGAUGGAAUUAUGUUGUUUGCAUUAAUGUUUCUUUUUCAGAUUUAUGGAAAAAAUUAGAAUGUCAUUUCUUAAAAAUGUUGAUAGUUGUUUAACCAAAGGCCCUUUAAUUGAAAAAUAUCUUGAUUCUUGACUUUAUAUUAAAAUUAAAAAAAUCUGAUACUGUUUGAUUACUUUUGCAUGUAUAACAUUAAAUUUGUUAUAUUUAAAUUUGAUAAAAUUUAAUAUAUUUUGAAAAAGAUGCACUUGAACAUAUCUAAAUGGAAUAAACACAUGACAGUCUUUGAAUAUCUGUAAAAAAAAGCACAUGUUUUGCAGUUCUCAUCAGAUUUGGUUACCAAUUUACAGCAUAAUUAUACAUGAAGGCUUAUUACUCAAACAUAUGCAGAUCUAAUUGUAUAUUUUCUACUAUAGAUAAUUUUUAAAAAAAAUACUGAGAAAAUAUAGCAAAACAAUGGUUGAAUUAGUAUACUUGAUUUUGUGAGACUGUUGAAAUAUUGCAAUUCUUUUUCCCUCUUAAGCCUGUAUCAUAAAAUCAUAUUUUCUGAUGAAAUUUUUUUUUAAGAAUGUUGCAAUGCAGAUUUUAAUGAAAAUUCAUACAUUUGUUAAGUUACCUAUAUUGAGUUAGGUAAUAACUUAAGCCCUUAUAUACUAAUUGGUCAAUGAUUAAAAAGAAUGUAUCUGAGUUUCUAGCUGACUUUCUGACUAAUUUAAGACCUCAUUCAUUUAACAACAUCUGUUAAUCUUCAGAAAUCCAGUAAAAUUGUCAUCUGUAAAACAGGUUUCAUUCUAAGAUAUACAAGGCAUAUAACAUCCUAUUUUACCAGCAUGUAUUUACUUUAAUAAAUAAAGUAGAUUUAGUUGUGUAUUUUGAUAAAUUUUGGAAAAAGCAUUAGGAGAUAUGUCUGCAACUGCAGUUUGUAUUAACUGAGUAUUUACUGGCACUGGAAUGUGCAUGAUCAGGGUUCUUCUGAAUAAACUUUAGUAAAGUCUUAAAUCUACAUUAUUUAUAGCUAUCCGUAAAAAGUCUAGCCAUUGUCUUGAUAGUUUGAAAGAAUUAAAUACAUUUAAGCCACGCCAUGAGAAAACCAACAUAGUGGUUUUGCGACCAGCAUAGAUCCAGAGCUGCCCGCGCAGUCUGGUCAGGAUCCAUCCUGUUCGCUUUCAAAGCAUAUUGCAAUUAGAGAAACUGUUAGUGAACAGCAUGGAUCCUGACCAGACUGCGCUGAUGCACAGGCUGGUAUGGAUCCAUGCUGGUCGCAAACGCACUAUGUUGGUUAUCUCAUGGCGCGGCUCAUUUAAAGUUGUAUCUAGCAAAAUAUUGACUAAACUGUUCUGUAGAUAAUUUGAUUUAAUUUUAUUGUUAAAGGAAGAAUGUGCAUCAUGAUUGUUAUUACAUGAACAUACUGUAUUAUUUUUAAAUAUCAUGAUAUUUUUCAGUCUUGGAUUACACUGUUAUUUGUUCAUAAUUUAGAAUUGUAUUUAAAAUGUAUAUAUUAAAUCAAAUGGCGAAGUAGA